UUAUAAAUUUAGAUUUAGUAUAUGCAUUCACUGGGAAUCAAUCCUAUGAUUUUGGCAUUGCUAAAUAUAAAUUUGGACUGAGCAUAAUGAUAUUUUACGUCUUCGCAGGUGGAGAUUCACCUUCCUCCUGUAAAAUCAAAAGUGAAUAUAACCAGAUGGUUCCAGUCUGGUGAAAAUUUUAAAUCAGGGCUUUUUCUGUCUGCAGCAGAUCACUAGCUCACUGUGAAGAGACUGUCAGACAGCUGUUUGUACACAAAGCUGCUACUGAAUCACAGUACAGUCAGCUCAACUGAGCAGUGUAUGUUCUUCGAAUCGCCGACAAAUCCUUACAGACACCGAGUUGCACAGUUGACCAAACUACUGGCACAGAAAUAUGUCUGGCUGUAUGGGAGACAAUAGAGCAAUACAUCUGGCCUCUGUGCUGUGCAGCAUUGGAUUCGGAGUCAAGAGACAGCUGUACAAGGGGUCCAUUCCCAUUGUCACUGCUCUGGGCUGGUACUAUGAGCAGUAUGAGAAGGAUUACGAGAAGGCCACACAUCUGUGGGAAGAAGCUGAUGCCAAAUGUCACCCUGAAGCUGCCAUGAAUUUGCGAGUUUUCUAAUCUCAGGGCCUCUAUCCUGGACAACUUGCCGACCAGGAUCAUGUCUUUGAUUUAUUAUCUGAGUGCAGCAGAGAGUGGAUUUGAAGCAGCUCAGUUUAAUGUGGCGUACCUGUGUGAACUCAACUCAGUGAGUCCAUUCUAAACACUUGCUUUAGAUUCAGAUGAACAUGUUCACUCGAUUGGCUUUGACAGAUAUUUUAUAUCUUUAUAUUGCAGGGCUCUUUGGAUUCGGCGCUGGUGACUCAGUGCAUGUUAAGAUAUUAUAACAUGUCGAUACAGACUCAAGAUCCGGCUCCGUACGCUUUGAUCAGAAUGGGAGAUCUGUUCUAUGGUGAACAGGCUUUGGGCAGAAAAGAGGUUUCUGAUGCAGCAGAGAUGUACAAGCAAGCAGCACUCAAGAAAAAA